GAGUGUAAUAUGCUUGAUUAUGUUUGAUCAUUAGUCAAAAAGAAGGCUGCACCAACACCGAAAGUCAAUCAAGCCACUGAAGAAGUUGUGGAUCUGAAAGCAGAGGAAAAUGUCACGGAGGGGAAAAAGCCAGGUAAA
rnacentral:lncRNA from 1 species